ensembl:lncRNA
CUUUCUUACCCAUUUACCCUCCUCCCAUCCCUCUUCUCAUGCUGCUUCUCUGCUGGCACAGUUAGCUAUGAUUACUCAUCCUGGAUAGCAGAGCCUCAGCCUCUGUGCCCUUCCUGUCUGCUCUACCCACAGUGUGUGUGUGUGUGUGUGUGUGUGUGUGUGUGUGUGUGUGUGUGUGUGUGUGUGUGUGUGUGUGAGUGGGGCUAUGUGUGCGCAUAUGCAUGUCUCACAGAUUGGUACGAGGGCAGUGCGUCACACCUUCUCGUGUGAAAUGAGUGAUGAAUAAAUGACUGUAUAAUUCAAUCUGAGCCCGGUCAAUAUGCAGAGGCUGAAUAUUUAAAAGCCUCUAAGCUCAUCUGUCAGUGCGGAGCCAUUAGCAGAGGAGGAGGAGAGGAGAGCACUGCUGGACAUAUUGGACAUACCACAGGAGAACUCUCCACCUAAUGUAGUCGGGCUCUACGGCCAUCUGCGAGUAUGCGUACCCGAGCUUUUCAGCAACGUCGACAGCGUUUGUUCCUGCUUGCGUCUCCGUGUUUGUGCACACAUGCGUGCACACGCAUUUAAAAAGUGCUUGACUUUUAACAAUCCCACUUCUCCACUUCCCCCUGCACCCAACAAAAAAAAAGAGACAAGUGAGGUGCUUAGUUGGUUAAAAAAAUAAAUAAAUAAUAAAUAAAUAAAAAAAGAGCCAGGCUACGUGCCGGAUCAGACAGGCUGAGUGGGAGGAACAAUGACCUAGUUUCCAAAAAACACUCCACCGGCACCACGAGCACACUGGAGAACAGAUCACGCAAUGUACUGCCUCUAUCAAAUCUAGCUGAGUGUGUGUGUCUGUUUAUCUGUUUAUCAUCAUUUGUCCUGUUUUUGCCUCCGCUUUUUACUUUCCUCUCCUUCUUUUGCUGUCUUCUUUUGGCUGUCCUACUUCCGGCUAGAAGGAACCAUGCUGCAUGUGUAUGUGUGUGUGUGUCUGUGUGUGUGUUUGCACAAAGUUAGUAGCUGUGUCACGCUGCGCUGCUGGGAGGCCACAGGGUCCCCGACUGCUGUCGGAAUCCGAACAGGACAAGUCACAGCAUGCGAGCGCCCUUCAUUCUAUCUCUUUGCGCUCUCCGUCUCCUCUUCUCUCGCGCACACACAUACGUUAAAUAGAGCUAACCGAUCCGUCGGCCUUGCAGACAGGAGGUGUGUUUCUGGAGUCCCCACUGCGAGCUCGCUUCAUUUUCCGUUUAUCUGGAGGACGUUCACGUGCCUUAGCAACGCAUUCACACAGUUCUCAGACCAGCCUGUGAGCCGUUUGAUAUGAGACCAUAAUGUAACACGAUGACGUGUAAUAUGACACCUUACAUGCUCUUUAUCUAAUUGAAUCUGCAUAAUAAUUGAUUCCAU